GUACCUGUUUUGGCAGCACAGGUACUAAAAUUGGAACAAUUCAGAGAAGGUUAGCACGGCUCCAGUGUGAGGAUGACAUAGAAAUUCAUGGAAUAUCCCAUGUUCUA